CCAGGCCCGAGUGCCGCCGUCACCACCAGCGCCCGACUCCGAGCUCCUCCUCCCGUGCGCCUCCUCCCUGGCCUCCCUCGCGCGUCGUCCGGCGACCGGCGCCGCCGCCGCCGACCACCCAGGUCACGCCGCCGCUUCCAUGCCUUUUCUCUCUCUAAUCUUCUUGUCUCUCCUCUCCAGGAGCUCAGCGCCAGCGCCAUGGAUGUCCAGUCCUCGAGCUCUCCUCGGAGGUUCGAACGCCGCCACGGGACCUCCACCAGCCAGAUCCGGCGCCUACCUCCCGGAUCCGCGCUCCCUCCACCUCCUCUACCCGAUCCGGCGCCGCCGAACCCGCCAUGACCUCCACCAUGGAGUUCCUAUAGCUCGUCCCCUGCCUCCUCGUCCUGUGCUAGAGGGAGACGCCCCUCCAGCGCAUCCAGGACAAGGCCCACCACCAGCCGGUCGUUGUUGCACUCGCCGGCGACCUCACCCUCCCCUCUGCACUGCCCUCCACCUCAACUAAUGCUUCUCAUCAUCAGGGAUAGAUUUAGCUGGUCAUAGCUUGUGGAUGUUCUCUGUUAAUUUUUGCACACAAGGUGUUUGUGUGUUUGUCCAAGCCAAUGUUCAUGAGCUUUAUCUUUUCUAUAAAUGACAUGGCUGAGAAAGUCCCUUCAAUGAAAGGAGGAGGAGUAUAGUCUUGGCCAUGGCUGGGAAGGAAGGAUAACAUGCCUUCAUGCUGGACAGAGGAGGAGAAGAAGGGGGGCACGUCGAAGGUGCCGGUGGAGCGCGCCGUCGAGAUCGUUGAUGAUAGCGACACGGGCGAGGCCGGGGAGGAGGUCAUGGUUGAUGCUUUACUGCCUGAAUAUGUUGACCGGGAACAAGAGGGUAAGGUGGAUGUGAGGGCGGAGGCGCAUGCCAUGGUGCAGGAUGUUGUGGAAGCCUAAUUAUUUGAGGAAGUGACAGCCACUGGGAGCAUGGAUCGACAGACUAGACAGCAGACCAAGUCCAUUGAUCGGCUGAUUCAACAACGAAGGAAGAGGCAGAAGGUUAUAAAAACGAGCUUGGGGAUUUACUGACCUGAAUCUUAAACAGGGCCGCCCUGCUGGUGGACUCAAGCUCCAGGUUUGCUCCUAGCACGUCUUAAUUAAUUACAUUGGCUCUUGACAAAAUGUCUAGCAUCAUGGAUAAUGAAUUCAUUCUGUGAUGCCACAUAGAUAUGCAAAGUCAUAGUCCUGCAUGUAUGGACAUCUACUGAUACAUACAAGCCGAUCGACGGGCACACACAUUAAACAAAUCUAGCAAGUUUGGCUUCUUAAGAACAAAUCUAGCAAGCAACGACUCGACUGAUGAAAGAGAUGUUGACCAUCUUUGCUGCAGUGAGGUACCUUCUUGAUCAUGUUACUAAUCUGUAUCUACAUUAUUCAGAUGUGAAACUCAUGCUUCUUGAAACAUCUGCAACACAUAUGUGCACUCUGAAAUGGUAAAAUAUUUGCAUUCUAUAGUACUUCAAGUUUGUGUAGCAUCCCCAUAUUUCCUGCGACCCAGUUCCUUGAACUGGCUAACCCUUAUUGAUGUCAUAUGUCCUGAACUGACUCUCAUGACCAAGUUCCUCAACACGUCCGCCCCUCACAGGCAUGUUGUGCAGUGGCUCAAUUCAUCGCAUUAUGAUUGAACACAUUUGGACACAUUAGGAUUAGGUGAACACUGAACACUGCCAACAUCGGUGAGGGUGGUCAGGAAGAAAAGCCAAAACCACCAGACGAAGGGGCGCUGGUCUCUGGUUCUUUGCGAAGGCCACCGCAGCUCAUCUCCAAGACCUCUGCUGUCGUGUGUCCCCCAAGUUCUUCACCGAAUCUCCUCGCCCGCUGGCUGCUGCUCUUCUUCUCCCUCGAACACAUCUCUGCUUCUGAUCCUCUGCUGCCGCCCCUAACCUGCUGCUUCUGCUCUCUGAUGCUGCCCUCGACUGCUGUACCGCUCCUUCUCCAACGAACUGUUGUUCCUAAUCUUCUCUGAACCCAAACUGUUGCUGCUCCGCUUCCUCUCUGAACCUCAGUCUGCUGCUGCUUCUCUGAUUCAGAGUAAACCAAUAAGCAGGAAUUCUAGGUCGUUUUUCCUUUGGUAACAGUUAUUGUUAGUUCUAAACAAUUUUUCAGGGCCACGAUUAGGCUUCCAAGGGUUCAGAAAAUGAUGAAGAAGCCUUUUAUAUCACACACUAUAUAACAUCAUGGAAUCACAACCUUAUAACAACUAAUUUAAGAGGCUAUGUUCUGGUUUGCUGUAUCUCCACCAGUUUGGGUUGGUCUGAUAGCUAACCUAAACUGAAUAGGGAAUCAGGAGUACUUUAGUUGGUAUUGAAAGUGGUAUGUUUACUUUCAAGCUGAAAAUCUUUGCAAGUUUGGUCCUGGGAUAUUUAAUGCUCCCUUUUCUUAUUAUCUUCCAAUCAUACUAUACAUAUUUAGUUUUUUUUACUUUCUCUUGACAAGUGAACUGAAUUAUUCAUGGAGAAUCUGGUUAUGGUAAAUUUUAUUAUGGAGAUUCAUCCGAUGUAAUAGAAUAGCUUUAUUUGCUAAAAUCAAUACAUAACUAUAGUGUUGUAUGGUUACAACAUGUAGAGUUUUGCAAGUGAGAGUUACAGGAAGUCACUAUUGCAAGAUGGCAUUCAAUUAACACACGUACAAUCGACUGAUCACUGUAUCUUUUUUUGCUAAUUUAAUUUGAAAAAGCUAUUGCAAACAAUUUUUUCUUCUGAAAUCAUAUACUCUGUUUAUUUCUAAUGUGAUUUUGUUACUGUUUGUAUGGUAUUUCUCUGUCUAAAUUUUUUGUUACAUAAAUCAAUCUGCAUAUAUGUGUGCAGGCUGUGAAUCGACAAACAGCCCAGAAAAUAUGGCAUGCUACAUACCCUGUGAGUCUGUGACAGUACAUUAUCAGAAAUACUUAUAUUUUUGAUAAACGCAUCUCUCAUCCAUCAUGACAUAGAUGUGAUGCGUUGCAAGUGUUUUUUUUCGUUCUCUCGCGAUGCGUCGAGUACAUGAUGGAUGGUCUAAUCGUUCAGUGUGUCAUGUGUACUCAGUCACUUGUGUCAUCUUCAGAUUUUAGAAGUCAAAAUUCUAGCUUUAGCUCUAUAUUUAAGAAUUUUUCUACGGCAAAUGCAAGAAAAAUAAAGCGUCCUUCUGCUCUCAUUAUGAGGAAGUUCUGAAAAAUUGAGGCAUUUGUAUGAAUUUCUAUUCUUCAUUAUAAAUUAUCCUUUCAAGUUUAGAAAAUAAAACAUGAUAUACUCUGUAUGUCUCUGUUCUACACUACCACUACCAUUUUAUUGCUGCAAAACGCCAAUGAAAAAGUCAUUACUAUUUUCCACGUUUUUAUACAAUCAAGCUGAAAGAGCAAUAAAAUGAUCUGUUUUUGACAUCGCCUCAGAUCUUACCGAAAGGCAAUGUGCUUAUAAUGUACAUCUAGAUAACAAUAAUGUGUUUGGGAAUGAUUCAUUUGUCGACGGCCAGCCAUGUGGGGUGUGAGGGACGAUACUUAUAUCACUUAGUGGCCAAGGGAAUGACAUCACAAAAGUUUAUCUAACAUCCUAGGAGAAGAUGGACACAUGUUCCUAUAUUGCUUCUCUACAAUUGCUUUCACCAUUUGAUCAUCCAUGUAAUUUAUAGCAUCCAUGCAUAGCUUAUCCAUAUGCUGUUUGUAUUCACUUAUUCCUUUUGUUGACAUGGCUAGGAGGCUACUAUGAAUGUCACAUAGAUUGUAAUUUAACCUCCUUACAAAUAAUUAACGUUCAAACAUUCCAGUGGAGGAAUCUCAAGACUUAGGAAUGGUGCCCCGACAAUUGUGAGCGGCACAAAGGAAGGGCCGCCAUCACCAAGGAAGUACGCUGACAAUUGUGGACUCCAAAGAGGAACAAGCUCUAUAUUUAGUGCAUUAAGUUGCUAUUUUAAAUUCUGAGAGGUGUUGAAUUUUGUCGAUUUCUAAGACAUUAACUCGGAAGAAUUAUUAUUUUGCUUGAUGUAAACUCAGAUUAAUUUGUCAUGUCAUUUGAACCGAA